GGCCGUGUGGCGAAAUGGCAUCGCGUCUGACUACGAUAUGGUUAAUCAGGAGAUUGCAGGUUCGACCCCUGUCUCGGUCA